GCGCAUGGUAGCCUAGUGGACAUGACAUCUACCCGGUAAGCGGAACACUGUGGGUUCGAAUCCCAUCCCUGGCC
rnacentral:tRNA from 1 species